rnacentral:lncRNA from 1 species
UUUUUAAUUACUAAUUAAUCUAUUACCUCAGUUGCUUCUUAAAACCUACAUGAUAGUUAAUUUAAAUGAAUUCCUAGAAUAUAAUUCUAUUUGAGACUUUUAUAUAUUUUAUAAUUUUUAAAAUAUAUACUCCCUCGAUUUUCCCUAAACACCGACAUGUUGGAUCUUUUGCAUGAAUAGUUUAGAGAACUAGACUCUAAAUUUUCG